CUUGACGGUAUCUAACCAGAAAGCCACGGCUAACUACGUGCCAGCAGCCGCGGUAAUACGUAGGUGGCAAGCGUUGUCCGGAUUUAUUGGGCGUAAAGCGAGCGCAGGCGGUUUCUUAAGUCUGAUGUGAAAGCCCCCGGCUCAACCGGGGAGGGUCAUUGGAAACUGGGAAACUUGAGUGCAGAAGAGGAGAGUGGAAUUCCAUGUGUAGCGGUGAAAUGCGUAGAUAUAUGGAGGAACACCAGUGGCGAAGGCGGCUCUCUGGUCUGUAACUGACGCUGAGGCUCGAAAGCGUGGGAGCAAACAGGAUUAGAUACCCUGGUAGUCC
rnacentral:rRNA from 1 species